UGGGGAAUAUUGCACAAUGGGGGAAACCCUGAUGCAGCGACGCCGCGUGAACGAAGAAGGUAUUCGUAUCGUAAAGUUCUGUCCUAUGGGAAGAUAAUGACAGUACCAUAGAAGAAAGCUCCGGCUAAAUACGUGCCAGCAGCCGCGGUAAUACGUAUGGAGCGAGCGUUGUCCGGAAUUAUUGGGCGUAAAGGGUACGCAGGCGGUUUAAUAAGUCGAAUGUUAAAGAUCGGGGCUCAACCCCGUAAAGCAUUGGAAACUGAUAAACUUGAGUAGUGGAGAGGAAAGUGGAAUUCCAAGUGUAGUGGUGAAAUACGUAGAUAUUAGGAGGAAUACCAGUAGCGAAGGCGACUUUCUGGACACAAACUGACGCUGAGGUACGAAAGCGUGGGGAGCAAACAGG
rnacentral:rRNA from 2 species